rnacentral:rRNA from 1 species
UCCGUAGGCGGUGUGGUAAGUCGAUAGUAAAAUCUCUGGGCUUAACCCAGAGGCUGCUAACGAAACUGCCAUGCUAGAGUGUGAGAGAGGCGAGUGGAAUUACGGGUGUAGCGGUGAAAUGCGUAGAUAUCCGUAGGAACAUCCGAGGCGAAGGCGGCUCGCUGGAUCACAACUGACGCUGAGGGACGAAAGCUAGGGGAGCAAACAGGAUUAGAUACCCUGGUAGUCCUAGCCCUAAACCAUCAGGACUUGGGGUUUGCCCUGUACGGGGCAAGUCCCGUAGCUAACGCGUUAAGUCCUGCGCCUGGGGAGUACGGUCGCAAGGCUGA